AGAGGGUGCAAGCGUUAAUCGGAUUUACUGGGCGUAAAGCGCGCGUAGGCGGCUAAUUAAGUCAAAUGUGAAAUCCCCGAGCUUAACUUGGGAAUUGCAUUCGAUACUGGUUAGCUAGAGUGUGGGAGAGGAUGGUAGAAUUCCACGUGUAACGGUGAAAUGCGUAGAGAUCUGGAGGAAUACCGAUGGCGAAGGCAGCCAUCUGGCCUAACACUGACGCUGAGGUGCGAAAGCAUGGCGAGCACACAGGAUUAGAUACCCUGGUAGUCCAUGCCGUAUACGAUGUCUACUAGCCGUUGGCGCCUUUGAGGCUUUAGUGGCGCAGCUAACGCGAUAGUAGACCGCCUGGGGAGUACGGUCGCAGACUAAACUCAAUGAAUUGACGGCGGCCGCACAACGGUGGAGCUGUGGUUAAUUCGAUGCACCGCGAAGACCUUACCUGGCCUUGACAUAUAAGAACUUUCAGAGAUGGAUGGUGCCUUCGGCAACUACAUACAGUGCUGCAUGGCUG
rnacentral:rRNA from 1 species